GGCACAAACGUAGCACUAACCUAUCCACCUAGUCUCGACAUUUGUGCCGUCAAUGUUCUGCUAACUUCACGGAUCCAAUAUUAUAAACUUCUCGAACCUUAAUACGCUACUAACAUUCAUUGUAGCUUAAAUAACUAUUGUUACACAGCCACAUACAAAGAAAUCCAGAUGGGUUAAAUUGGUGAACGAGACGGCCAUCAAACAUAGGCCUAUUCACCGAUAUCUUCAGCAAUUUUGUGAAAGUUAUGCGGUGGGGCCCCAUCUCGUUGGAAGUACAAAACUCUUCGACUAAUAUCAAUUACUUGGAUGAGUAUAAGAAGUGAGUUUUCUCGAGACCAACAGGUAGUGCACAUUGUUUUAGACAUGGAAGAUGAAUAAAUAACAGACUAUUUGUUGUAAAUGUAACUACGAACCGUAGAGGAAAUACAAUUUUCUACUAUGCUACGAACUUAAAUUGUCUAAAAAUUAAAAUAAGAUGGUGGACAUUUUUUUAUGUUUGCCAUAGUGGGAUCGAAUAGGACUCUUAUAGUAUGUUAAUAAAAAAGAUGUUCUCUACACAUUAAAAAAACAA